rnacentral:tRNA from 1 species
AGAAUUUAAUUUAAUAAAAAUAUUGGCUUUGGAAGUUAAACAUGGGGUAAUCCUUUUUCUG